UUAAGUAGGUAAGGGCGCAUGGUGGAUGCCUCGGCAUGGGCAGGCGAUGAAGGGCGUGGCAAGCUGCGAUAAGCCGCGGGGAGCCGCAAGCAGGCUGUGAUCCGCGGAUUCCCGAAUGGGGCAACCCGGCCGGUCGAAGACCGGUCAUCCACGGGCUGAAUCCAUAGGCCCGUGGAGGCGAACCCGGGGAACUGAAACAUCUCAGUACCCGGAGGAAAAGAAAGCAACCGCGAUUCCCUGAGUAGUGGCGAGCGAAAGGGGAACAGCCCAAACCGGCGUCGUUUCGGCGGCGCCGGGGUUGUAGGGCCCGCCAUAUGGGAUCGGAAGGUGAAGUCGAAGCGUGCUGGAAAGCCGCGCCAUAGAGGGUGAUAGCCCCGUAGGCGUAAGCCGACCGAUCUCGGCGGUGUCCCUGAGUACCACGGGACCGGUGGAAUCCUGUGGGAAGCUGCCAGCACCAUCUGGCAAGGCUAAAUACUCGCCCAUGACCGAUAGCGCACUAGUACCGUGAGGGAAAGGUGAAAAGAACGCCUAGUAGGCGAGUGAAAAGGACCUGAAACCAUGCGCCCACAACCAGUCGGAGCCUCUUGCCGGACUUCGGUCCGGCAAUGGGGUGACGGCGUGCCUUUUGCAGAAUGAGCCUACGAGUUGCUCCUCUCUGGCAAGGCUAAGUGCCUCAGGCACGGAGCCGCAGCGAAAGCGAGUCCGAACAGGGCGCCAGAGUCAGAGGGGGCAGACGCGAAACCGGGUGAGCUACCCUUGGCCAGGUUGAAGCGUGGGUAAGACCACGUGGAGGACCGAACCGGUUGGCGUUGAAAAGCCAUCGGAUGAGCUGAGGGUAGGGGUGAAAGGCCAACCAAACCCGGAGAUAGCUCGUACUCCCCGAAAUGCAUAGAGGUGCAGCGUCGCAGCCGAGUGUGCGGGAGGUAGAGCACUGGUUGGGCUAGGGCCCUUCACCGGGUACCAAACCCAGUCAAACUCCGAAUGCCCGCACAUGCUCUGCGGCAGUGAGGGCAUGGGCGAUAAGGUCCAUGUCCGAGAGGGGGACAACCCAGACCGACAGCUAAGGCCCCGAAGUCCAGGCUAAGUUGGGCAAAGGAGGUCGGGCUGCUAAGACAACCAGGAGGUUGGCUUAGAAGCAGCCAUUCCUUUAAAGAGUGCGUAACAGCUCACUGGUCGAGCGGCCCGGCGCCGAAAAUUGUCGGGCAUCAAGCCUGGCGCCGAAGCUUCGGGUUUGCAGCCUUCGGGCUGCAAGCGGUAGGGGAGCAUUCCAGUUGCGCUGAAGUCGUCUCGUGAGGGGCGGUGGAGCGACUGGAAAAGAAAAUGUAGGCAUGAGUAACGAGAAGACGGGUGAAAAACCCGUCCGCCGUAAGCCCAAGGGUUCCUGCUCAACGCUAAUCGGAGCAGGGUUAGCCGGGUCCUAAGCCGAGGCCGAAAGGCGUAGGCGAUGGGAAACGGGUUAAUAUUCCCGUGCCACCCGAAGGCGCUAACCUGAGGCGUGACGCAGGAGCGUAAGGCCCGCGCCCUGACGGAAUAGGGCGUUGAAGCCCGUAGGCUGGGUGGUAGGCAAAUCCGCCACCCGCUAAGGCCGAAAGGCGACAGUAGGGGGACCCGCAAGGGAAACCCAUAGAGGCCCCAAGCACACUGCCAAGAAAAGCGUCGCAGGUUGUCUUCGGGUGCCCGUACCGGAAACCGACACAGGUGGGCGAGGCGAGUAUCCUCAGGCGCUCGAGUGAUCCGUGGCUAAGGAACUCGGCAAAUUGGCCCCGUAACUUCGGGAGAAGGGGCGCCUCCUCCCAUCCAAAAGCGGGAGGGGGCCGCAGUGACCAGGCCCAGGCGACUGUUUAACAAAAACACAGCUCUCUGCGAACUCGUAAGAGGACGUAUAGGGAGUGACACCUGCCCGGUGCCGGAAGGUUAAGGAAGGGGGUUAUCCCGGCCUCGCGCCGGGAGAAGCUCCCGACCGAAGCCCCGGUAAACGGCGGCCGUAACUAUAACGGUCCUAAGGUAGCAUCCGCUGCCUGCCCACAGGGUAACCUGUGGGGCAAGCCCGGCUGUAUGCGGGAACGCCCUGAGAGCCACUUCUACGUCUCCCGCCCAAGGGCGGGCGUAAAAAUGAAGUGGAUUGGGUAACCCGCAGGAAACCCCGCCGCAAGCGGGGGAUCCUCAGAGGCCAUACGCCGGGUAUCCAGUACCAGUCGGGCCUGAAAUAAAACCAAACCAAUACUUUCAUGCAGCUCACUGCCGAUUGGGUGGUCGGCUUUGUCGACGGUGAAGGUUGUUUUCACGUGGGCAUUGCCGAACACCCGGAGAUGAGCACCGGCUAUCAGGUGCUCCCGGAGUUCACGGUGGUCCAGCAUGAGCGCGACAUUCAGAUCCUGUAUGCGCUCAAGCGGUUCUUCGGCUUCGGGGUGGUUCGGAAAAAUCACGCAGAUCGCUAUGCCUACCGGGUGCGCAAACUGAAGCACCUGGAGCAGCUCUGCGAGUUCUUUCUGAAACACCCGUUGAAGACCCGCAAGAACGUGGACUUCCGGAAAUUCCGACGCGUUGUGCUGAUGAUGAAAGAAGGACGCCAUCUGACGCGGGAAGGCCUGGCCGAAAUCAUCGAUCUUGCAAGUUCGAUGAACACCGGCGACCGACCGCGUCUGGAAGCGAUCAAGGCCCAGCUGGCUGCUGGAUAAAGAGAUGGUCCACCCCCGCUGGAAACAGUGGGAUCAGGGUGAGCGAAAUUCCUUGUCGGGUAAGUUCCGACCUGCACGAAUGGUGUAACGACCUGGGCACUGUCUCGGCCACGGGCUCGGUGAAAUUGUGGUGCCAGUGAAGACGCUGGCUACCCGCCGCGGGACGGAAAGACCCCGUGCACCUUUACUGCAGCCUGGCAUUGACGCCGGCCAGGGCGUGUGCAGGAUAGGCGGGAGGCUGUGAAGCCGGGGCGCCAGCUCCGGUGGAGCCGCCCUUGAGAUACCGCCCUCGCUCUGGCUGGCGCCUAACCCACGGCCGUUAUCCGGUCGGGGAACAGUGUCAGGUGGGUGGUUUGACUGGGGCGGUCGCCUCCUAAAGCGUAACGGAGGCUCCCAAAGGUCCCCUCAGCACGGUCGGUAAUCGUGCGUAGAGUGCAAGGGCAUAAGGGGGCUUGACUGCGAGACACACAAGUCGAGCAGGGGCGAAAGCCGGGCCUAGUGAUCCGGCGGUUCCGAAUGGAAGGGCCGUCGCUCAAAGGAUAAAAGGUACGCCGGGGAUAACAGGCUGAUCGGGGCCAAGAGUUCACAUCGACGCCCCGGUUUGGCACCUCGAUGUCGGCUCAUCGCAUCCUGGGGCUGGAGAAGGUCCCAAGGGUUGGGCUGUUCGCCCAUUAAAGCGGUACGUGAGCUGGGUUCAGAACGUCGUGAGACAGUUCGGUCCCUAUCUGCGGCGGGCGCAGGAGGCUUGAGCGGAGCUGCCCCUAGUACGAGAGGACCGGGGUGGACGGACCUCUAGUGUACCAGUUGUGCCGCCAGGUGCACCGCUGGGUAGCUAUGUCCGGAAGGGAUAAGCGCUGAAAGCAUCUAAGCGCGAAGCCCACCGCAAGAUGAGGCCUCCCCUGCGGGCCGUCCGAGACCAGGACGUCGAUAGGCGGCAGGUGUAAGCGGGGUAACCCGUUGAGCCGAGCCGUACUAAUCGCCCGCGUGACUUAAUC
rnacentral:rRNA from 1 species